rnacentral:rRNA from 1 species
GAUGAACGCUAGCUACAGGCUUAACACAUGCAAGUCGAGGGGUAACGAGGAGAGAGCUUGCUUUUCCGUCGACGACCGGCGCACGGGUGAGUAACGCGUAUCCAACCUACCUCAGCUAAGGAACAGCCCGUCGAAAGGCGGAUUAAUACCUUAUGUUGUUUCGUGAUGACAUCAGAAAGAACGAAAGAUUUAUCGGCUGAGGAUGGGGAUGCGUCUGAUUAGAUUGUUGGCGGGGCAACGGCCCACCAAGUCAUCGAUCAGUAGGGUUCUGAGAGGAAGGUCCCCCACAUUGGAACUGAGACACGGUCCAAACUCCUACGGGAGGCAGCAGUGAGGAAUAUUGGUCAAUGGGCGAGAGCCUGAACCAGCCAAGUAGCGUGCAGGAUGACGGCCCUAUGGGUUGUAAACUGCUUUUACACGGGGAUAAAGUGGUCGACGUGUCGUCCAUUGCAGGUACCGUGCGAAUAAGGACCGGCUAAUUCCGUG